UAAAAAAAAAAAAAAAAAAACCGGAGUGACAGAUCCGUUAAACCCCUCUGCAACCAGACGCGAGGAUUUUCUUCCUUCCCAUUUCUACUGGUGGAGUUCAAAAAUUCGCUGAAGUCACAGAAGAUUUUGCCUCCUCCGAAGAAUAGAGCUCUCGCAUGGUGCCUAUCUUGAAUGCGUCACUUGUUCAGAUGGCUACAAGAAAGAGCAGCACAAAGCGCAUGGAUUUCUUUUGUUAUAGACUUAUAGGGAAGAAAAAAAUUGCAAAAGUAAUAUCUUAGAUUCUUAAUGGUUCGAGUCAAAACCGUGUCAGCCAAGUGGACAAAUCUCACAAUUAGCUUUCUUGGGGUUGAAAGUAAGUUGGGAAAGGGUUUUGAAUUUCUGUUUGCAUGCCACUAAAUCUGUUGUGAGGCCUAUUUGGGCCAUGUUGUGCUAUCACAACUAGCUCUGACUUUCAAUUGGACAGUUGUUAGUUACACUUCUUACUUGGAUUUCUGCAGUUAGGCUAGUUGGCAUUCGGCACUUUUAUUAUUUGAACUUCAUCUUUUAUAUAUAGUUAAAUUUUAUUACUCAGUGAAAAA